rnacentral:lncRNA from 1 species
ACCAAGAAAACAUCCUACAUCUUGGAUUUUAAAAUCCCAUAAAAGUAAACGAUUUCAAACCUUAAACUUAAAUACACAUUCACUAGCUUCACCUCCACCACUUCCUUCAAAGCACACAUCUUGGAUCGACGAGAACCGCUUAAUCAACUUCUUCGAUCUUGGGACCAGCACUGCUGCCACCAGCAGGAGGAACAUCUUCAUCCAUGCCGCCACCGACAUCAGGUCCACCAGCACCACCCUGGUACAUCUUGGCAAUGAUCGGAUUGCAGAUGCUCUCCAGCUCCUUCAUCUUGUCCUCAAACUCGUCGGCCUCAGCAAGCUGGUUUCCGUCAAGCCAUUGGAUGGCCUGGUCAAUUGCAUCCUCAAUCUUCUUCUUGUCAGCUGCGUCUAGCUUGGAGGCAAUCUUAUCGUCCUUGAUCGUGUUCCUCAUAUUGUAGGCGUAAUUCUCCAGAGCAUUCUUGGCCUCCACCUUCUUCUUGUGCUCCUCAUCUUCUGACUUGUACUUCUCAGCCUCUUGAACCAUCUUUUCAAUUUCUUCCUUCGACAAUCUUCCCUUGUCAUUGGUGAUGGUAAUCUUGUUCUUCUGCCCUGUAGUCUUGUCUUCAGCCGAGACGUUCAAUAUACCGUUGGCAUCAAUAUCAAAGCAGACAGUGAUUUGCGGAACACCCCUUGGAGCAGGAGGAAUGCCAGAAAGCUCAAAUUUUCCCAACAAGUUGUUAUCACGAGUCCUUGUCCUUUCACCCUCAUAUACUUGGAUCAAGACACCGGGCUGAUUGUCUGAGUAGGUUGAGAACACUUGCUCCUUCUUGGUUGGAACAGUAGUGUUCCUUGGAAUCAACACAGUCAUCACACCUCCGGCAGUCUCCAAACCAAGGGACAGAGGAGUGACAUCCAGAAGCAAUAGAUCCUGCACCUUCUCAUUACCCUCACCGCUCAAGAUGGCAGCCUGCACGGCGGCACCAUAAGCUACAGCCUCGUCUGGGUUGAUGCUCUUGCAUAGCUCCUUGCCAUUGAAGAAGUCUUGCAACAACUGCUGUACCUUCGGAAUCCUAGUAGAGCCACCCACUAGCACAACAUCAUGGACCGUGCUCUUGUCCAUCUUUGCAUCUCUCAAACACUUCUCAACGGGCUCCAUACACUUUCUGAAGAGAUCCAUGUUAAGCUCUUCAAACCUGGCACGGGUAAUGGUUGAGUAGAAAUCAACACCCUCGUACAAAGAAUCAAUCUCAAUUGUGGUCUGAGCAGUGGAGGAGAGAGUCCUCUUUGCCCUCUCACAAGCAGUUCUCAACCUCCUAAGAGCUCUUGGGCUGCUGCUGAUGUCCUUCUUGUGCUUCCUCUUGAACUCUUGAACAAAGUGAUUCACCAUUCUGUUGUCGAAAUCUUCUCCUCCCAAGUGGGUGUCUCCGGCAGUUGCCUUCACUUCAAAGAUACCCUCUUCAAUUGUGAGCAGGGAGACAUCAAAAGUGCCUCCGCCAAGAUCGAAAAUCAAGACAUUCUUCUCCCCAACGCUGGUUGCCUUCUUGUCAAGACCGUAUGCAAUAGCGGCAGCGGUGGGCUCAUUGAUAAUACGCAAAACAUUAAGGCCGGCAAUGACCCCAGCAUCCUUUGUGGCCUGACGCUGAGAAUCGUUGAAGUAAGCCGGGACAGUAACAACGGCAUUCUUUAUAGAUGAGCCAAGAUAGGCCUCAGCAAUCUCACGCAUCUUGACGAGAACCAUGGAGGAAAUUUCUUCAGCAGCGAACUGCUUCUCUUCGCCCUUGUAUAUGACAACAAUCAUGGGCUUGUCACCGGGGCCGGGAAUGACCUUGAAAGGCCAGUGCUUCAUGUCACCCUGGACAGAAGGGUCAGAGUAUCUCCUACCAAUCAACCGCUUGGCAUCUGAAAAAUUAACCAAGCUCGUUUAAAAUACUAAUUUAUUAAUUACGCAUAACACAGAACAUGCUACCAAUCAAGCUAAAUCCUUUAAAUAUUAUCAAAAAUAAAAAUAACCAAACAGAUCAAGCUUCAAACACUACAAGCUCAGACAGCGUUUCUAAAAUUUCACCAUCAAUUAACAAGAAACUUAAAACCCAAAUUAUAAUUUUUAAGAGAUUAACUAAAACUCAAAGCCUUGAUCACCAAGUACAAUAUUUGAUAGUCCUUUAAUAUUAACUACAUAAAUCCUGCAAAUAACAAUAAAUAAAAAAAUCAACCAUUUUUUUUCUUUUUCAAUUCGCUAUAAAAAGAUUCAAGGCAGGCAAAAACCUCGCAUAAAAUUAGCUCCAUCGUAAUUUAUCACACCGAACCUCAAAAAGAGAAGUACUUUCAAGGAAAUUGAACUCUUUUUCUCAGAAAUUCAAGCAACAGAAAUCCAAAAACAGAAAAAUUUAAACCAGCAGCAAAUAUUGACAGUAAAUUCAUAAAAUCAGCCAUACAAGCAUAUAGAUCAGACAGUACAGAGUAAAAUUGAUUCAAAAAACGCAACAUGCAAGGCAACAAAAAAAAAAACAUCAUAACAUCAGAAAUAUCGCAAGAAAAGAGAAGAAUUUCGAUUCUUACCAAAGACGGUGUUGACGGGGUUCAUCGCUACCUGGUUCUUGGCCGCAUCGCCGAUCAACCUCUCCGUGUCAGUAAACGCCACGUAAGACGGAGUCGUCCGGUUGCCCUGAUCAUUGGCGAUGAUCUCGACACGAUCGUGUUGCCAAACACCGACGCACGAGUAAGUGGUUCCGAGAUCGAUCCCGAUCGCUGGCCCCUCUCCCUUUCCCGCCAUUGCAACCGCAGAGAUUCAAGCAAUCGAACAAGCAAAGAAUCGCAGAUAAAAUUAAAGAUCGAACCGCAGAGAAAAGUAAAGAGCUUCUGAGAUUUUUUGUGCAAUGGGCUGUUCGUAGUCACAGGUGUUGGAUUAAGAGUAGUGAAUUGGGGGGCUAUAUAGUAGGACACUUGUCUAGAAUGUUCGUGAGGAUAUUGACGAUUUUUGGUGGGAGGGUGUCCAGAAUGUUCGGUUUGAUAACGGCCGUUGGAUUCGAGUGUCGUGGACGGUGAUGAUUUGAUUUGCUUCGCGGGGUUGGUUUCUUUACUUUUUGAUCGAAACUUCGUGUCCACUCCCUUCGUCGUCGGAAAUUUGUCUUCUCGUCAAUUUCCUUGUUGGAAAACGUUUCACAGGACGGUGGCGUUUUGCGUGUGGGCUGUGACUUGACUUUUGGGCUUUCGAAGGGCUUUGAAUCCAAACGUGUUUGGGUCAGGCUGCACUGCAGUCCUUAUGGUAUGUGUUUGUGCAAUACUGUUUACAAUUGCUUUUGGACCAAAUGUAAUGGUUGAGUUAAAGCUUAAAAUUUAAGAAAAAUUAAUGAAAAUGAUUUGAAAACUUUAAGUUUUAACAAUAAAGAUAAAAUAAAGGGUAAAAUGAAUAGUAUCAGGAUUGACUUUUUAGUGUAAAAAUAUGAUUUUUCGUUAAAUUGAACAGUACUGUGAGCUUUUCGUUAAAGUUCUCUAAAAUUUAAUCUUUAUAUUAUAUCCCCCAAGGCAUUUCCAAUUAUUACUCUCUUUUAGUAUUUUUUGGCAUCAAUCCUUGGUAAAAUGCAAGUGAGUCAUGUGAAAGCACUUUAAGUGCUUUUAGGUCUCGUUUGGCAGUUCAGACUAUACUGACUAUUUCAGUCGGAUAGAAUAAUCUAUCACCGGAUUGUACUGACUAAAUUAAUUGAGUGUUUGGUGCAGUAUCAUACUAAUUACCGUAUUAUUUAUAAUCUAUUUGUUACCGUAUCCGAUACGAGAUCGGAUUAUAUUAUUUUUACUAAAAAAAUUUGAUGACUAAUGAAAAAAAGGAAAUAAUUUUUUGAUAAAAAUUCAGAACAACCAAAUGCAUCAAAUUAAAUAAAAAUAAUCUUGAUAUUGCAUUUUCUAUUUGUCCUUUAUUUAAAUCAAAUUAUUAAAAAAAAAAAAAAUCAUUUCUUCCCUAGAUCUUCUCCACUGCACAUGAUUCACCAUACCAAAUGGGAUGGACAAUAGAAUCAGCAUAAACCCUAUACCCAAUAGCAUGAGACUUCUUCCCAAAUGUUCUAUGCAUGUGAGAUUGCUCCCUGAUCUCUCACAUUUCUUUCCAUGAGGAGUCAACCCAAUUCCAACGAUGCUGCAGCGAUGUUGAGCAGUAGGUGAAUGCAGGCGGUGCUCCGACGACGUGGGUUUCAGUUGGAUCUAGUUCAAAUCUAGGAUCGAUGGCACGCGAACCCGUGCAGGCAGAGCCGGCCCUGCGGGUGUACAACAGGUGCCACCGCACAAGGCCACCAAUUCGGAAGGGCCCCUAAAUUUUCAUUACAUAUAUACAGAUGCAUAUAAAAUAGAUUAGAUGCAAAAAAAUAAUCUUAUCUAUGGUUCUAGCGUAAGCGAUUUAGCUCUUCUUUCUUCUAGCUCAUGUGUUGGGUUUGAAUCCCAAUGAUAUUGUUUUGUUAUAUUUUAAGCUUUUGCAAAUUUGUAAACAGGAGAUAAUUUGUUAUAUUUUAAGCUUUUGCAAAUUUGUAAACAAGAGAUAACAAAAAGGCAUUCAACGUGUAUCAAACUCAGGACCUUUGAAGGUAAGGAAAAACACCUGGCUAAUCAAACAACUUAUUUUUGUUGCAGUAACUUGUAAUAUUUUAGUUUUAUAGAUGAAAAAAUUGAAAAAAAAUAAUAAUAAAGAAAUAUAACAUUAAAAAAAAUGAAGGGCCUCCAUCUAAGUUUUGCACAUGGCCCCUCAUUACUCAGGGCCGGCCCUGCGUGCAGGUCCUACAACGAGGAACUGUAGAGGAGGGCGACGGCCGCGACGAGAAACUAAAGAGGAGGGCGACAACUAUAAAGUGCAAAAGGAAGAAGAAGAUGAAGAAGAAAUGAGAAGGAUGAAGAAGAACCUGGGGUUGAAGAUGGAAACAGAAGUGAGUUUGUAGAAUGAUGCGAGAAAGCCAGACCGAUAGAGGGAGGACACAGACCCGACUAAUAAUACAUAGGUUUUUGGAAGGAUAAAUAGCGGCCAUACACCGGAUAAAAGAUGUAGGCCUAGUUUAAGUAAUACGGGUACUAUUUAGUACAUAGUUGCACCAAACACCCGGCUCCAUAUAACUUAUCCUAUAUGAUUCCUUGUACAACUCACAAAUGAGGCCUUAGAACCCGAAAAUAUUUUCACUAAAAGUCAUUUCAUUCAUUUUAAAAGCACUUCCAAAAAAGCUCUUAAUAAAGCAUAAUGAUUGGAAAUGUUUGGGAGGGACAUUGCAUUUGAUCUAAAAGCAUUUCUAAACUGAUUCAUCAUGUAUUGCACAAACACACACCAUAUGAACUGUAGUGAAUCAAAUUUCACGCAACAUACUCUAUAAAUACCUAUGUAUUUAUUCAAACAUCCACACAAAAUUAGGAUAAUCUACAUAAUGUGUAGAAAUGAUUUUUCAUAUGUGUAUGAACUUGUGUUUAAGAAUGGGGUGGAUUUGUGUGAUUUUUUUUAUUAUUUAUUAGAAUUCUAAUAUUUUUAGCUUAAAAUAUAAAUAAAAAUAAAUUAGUAUAAUCUACGUAAUUUUUUUUUUAAAUUAUCGUGAAAAAAAUUAAGCUAAAAUUAAUUUUUAAUAAUUUGGGGCUUCAAUUAAAAAAAGCCAUAACUAUUGGAAGUAAAAAACUUUUUAUAGGUUAUACCUUAAAAUUUCAUGUUUAACUCACACCAUUGCACAUUGUUUUACAACUGAUUUUAUAAUGCUCAUUAGCGUUUCUUCUACAAGGAACUACUGCUACAGAACUAAUAGCCUCCAUAGCCUCAGCUGCUUUGAUGACUUAUAACUUCUCCAAAGCAGAUGUCAAAAUUGCCACAUAGACAUAUACUCGAACCGAGCCUUCAAUUUCCUAUACGGCGUUGAGUCAAUUGAAGACAAAGUAUUCUGUUGUCAAAUCCAUUUAGUAUUUUUCUAAUAAAUUUAAUGCAAAUAUAAUAAACGUUGUGUAUUCUAAGAAUUUGAUUGGUUGCCUACAUAAAUAGACCCCACAAAGUGAUUAAUUUUUUUUUAAAUGACAUUAUUGUUUAACAUAUCGGGUGGUAAAAAGAAUUACUCCACAAAGUGAUUAAUUUUUUUUAAAUGACAUUAUUAUUUAACAUAUCGGGUGGUGAAAAGAACAAUAAAGACAAAAUUCAAACAGGAAAUCUGAGAGAAUUUUGUAAAAAAAAAAAAGGCUUCUUUGGCAAAAUACCGGAAUACGAUAUUGAACAAAAUGACCAAAAUCACCAAACAUCCUACAUCUUGGAUUUUAGAAUCCCAUAAAAAAGUACCCAAUUCCAAACCUUAAACUAAGAAACAGAAAAAUACGUUCACCACUUUCUUCAAAGCAAACACUUUGGAUCAACAAAAACCGCUUACUCAACUUCUUCGAUAAUAAUAUUGGGACCAGCACCGCUGCCAGCAGCAGGAGGAAAGUUCCCCCAGCACCCUGUUCCCUGGUACAUCUCGGCACUGAUCGAAUUGCAGAUGCUCUCCAGCUCCUUCUUCUUUUCCUCAAACUCGUCAGCCUCAGCAAGCUUGUUUCCGUCAAGAAAAAGAAAGUAUCUCGAUUCUUACCCAGGACGGUGUUGACGGGGUUCACGGCGACCUGGUUCUUGGCCGCAUCGCCGAUCAGCAUCUCCGUAUCAGUAAACGCCACGUAAGACGGCGUCGUGCGGUUACUCUGAUCAUUAACGAUGAUCUCGACGCGGUCGUGUUGCCAAACACCGACGCACGAGUAAGUAGUUCCGAGAUCUAUACCGAUCGCUGGCCCCUCUCCCUUUCCCGCCAUUGCAACUGCUGAGAUUUAAUCCAUCAAACAAGCAAAGAACCGCAGAGAAAAGUAAAGAGCUUUUGAGAUUUUUGGGCGAUAGGUAAAGAAACUUAGCUAGGAACAAAUCUCAGUUUGUAAAAAUUUCCCGCCUUUUUGUAAGGUAAUGCUAGGGAGACUAAAUUUACAAAUUAAAUUAUGUAUUAUCAACAAAAAUGAGUACCUUUAUUCAUGUUUAAGUAAUAAAUCAAUUAUCAACUUCUAUGUUCUUUAGUUUUCAAAAUUUAGUAUACAAAUUUAGUCUUUCAAACAUUUCUCUUUUUUGCAUGUCCAUGUGGAAUACCAUUUUCCCAUCAUAGGUAGGGUUUUUUUUUCUUUUCCCGUUCACGCAUAAAGACAUUCUUAUAGUAACAAUACGCUAAGGUACAAUGUCUAAUUUUAAUAUUUGUACUUAUCAAGAGACAUUCUUUCAUUUUAAUUUUUUUUAGUUGAAAAUUUGUAUGAACUUUUACACCGUUAUAUUUAAAUUAAGAUACUGCAAGCCUCUUAACUUGAAAAGAGAAAAACGCAUAAAGCCUAUUAAACCAUUAUUUAACUGAUAAAAUAGUAUAUAAUAAAGAAGUUAGUAGAAAACCUAUCGUAAAUACAAACAAAAUGACUUGCACCAAAGCCUAGUAAACCAAAAAGAAAUGAUGAGAAUGUAGAGAGGAUAUUAAUAUUUGUAAAUGUAAAGAACUAAGGGGGUGUUGUUGCGCAGGACUAUCUCAGACUGGACUAGCUUUAAGGACUAAGCUGGACUAGUUUAGACUAGACUAAGCUGGACUAACUUAGUGAAGCGUUUGAUGCAGUGUUGGACUAAGAAGUUGGAUAAUAACAAAUUCUAAUAUUAUAAUAUUUUAUUAUGAUCUAGGUGACCGGAGAUGACGAGGAGUCUAUCGGGAGUGGUUGUUGAGCAUGAUGAGGACGAGAGAGGAUAGUCUUAGCUAGUCCCAUGAUUAUUGGGGGUCUCGCUAAGACUUCUUAGUGAAGGAUUUUGUCCAUGUUAGUCCCCUUUAGUCUCAUUAAUGUUAGUCCCAGCAUGGAACAAACACAGUAUUGGACUAACAGCUAGUCCAAUCCAGUCCAAUCCCACUUAGUGAGGGCAAACAAACGCCCCCUAAAUGAAACGUACACCCAUUACUGGUCCAAAUCUGUAAUCCUUAUUUUAGAUUGCUAAAAUGAAACUGAAAAUGAACGAUGCUAAGUAUACAUGUAUGCUGUCUUUGCUUGCGAAACUCAAGCAAUUUGCUAAAGCUGAGAAACUCUAUACUGAAUAGAACUCUAUUUCGGAGACACUAGGGUUUCAAAUAUACUCCUUGCAGCAUACAUCAAAGAAAACCAAACGAAAGUACUGAAACCUUUUGUUUAUACCAUAUUUAGGGCCUUGUAUUUAGACCUCGUAUAAAUACUCAGGAGACUUAAAUGUAAUUAUGUAAUAAAGGAAGGGGUAAAUAUGUAAUUAGGGGAGGAGCCCUUAUUCUAUAAAAGGGCCUCCUCACCCUCACAAACGGGGGGGGGGGGUCUCUCCUCAUCCCUCUCAAAGCUCUCACUCUCAGAGCUCUCUCUCCCUCAUUUCUCAGAGAAAUAUAAUACAAUCUGUGUUGACGUAGCCCAAACCUUGGGGUGAACCACGAUACAUCUUGUGUCAUUUACAUUACUUGCAGAUUCACGGUCGGAUUUACGUUGUUCCAAGACCUCCGGUUUUGUGCAUCAACAUUUGGCGCCGUCUGUGGGAAACGACACGAAAAGUUAUGUCGGUUCUCUCUCAAAUUUUCAUCUCACCACCGUGAAACCCUCACAACCUCCACCAUGAAUCUGUAGAAACCCAAUAACCAAACACCUAGAGAGUCACUGCAAAACCCAUGUCUUCCGUUCCAGCUCCCGGUCACGGCAGAAGCGAUGGAAACACAACCACCACCUCAUCUCUCUCUCUCUACAUUUUCUGUGCAGAUCUUGAGACCUAAAUCAGAACAUAAGCAUCAAUGUUACAAACUAAACCUGCAUCAGAAAAUAGAGCCUCAGUGCUUCUCAGCCGUUGGAUCCAUAGCGAAGCUCACCAGCUUCACCAUUUUGCUCGCCUUCUUGCUUUCCUGCUUCACUUUUGCUUCUACACAAACUCAAAAUCCCAAAUGGAUUUCAAGCUCCAAGCUCUGCUGUGCCUUGUAGUUCUUCAAGUUCUGGUCUUCUUCUCAAAGGAAGCAGAAGCAGCAGAACACAGCCAUGGCAGCAACUUGAGAGUCCACAAGAAGUAAGUGAGCAGCUGCAAUUUGUUCCAAGGCAAUCAAGGUUUUCACCUACCUUCGAAUCUGCCAUCUUAGUUAGAAGUCCACAAUCAAAUGAACUCCGAAUCCUCGAAUUCAACCGCUGCAGUUCUCUGGGCUCGAGGAUAGGUUGUGGCAGAAAUAACGAAAAAAACAGCCACUGAUGAUGCUGCAAACUCGCCACGGCCACCAGUGGAAAACCAACGAAAAAGGCCAAGAUGCGGAGGUUAGUGCAUCAACACACUUUGUUCCUUAAAGUCAAGGUCCGAGGAGCUGGCUGCGGGAGGAAGAAUGGGGCUGAUCUGGUUUGGAAGGAGUGGCCCAGAUCAUGUCGACAGAGGUAACAGUUUCUUCUGGCAGCCAAAAUUAAAGGUCCACUUCUCUUUCCUCUUUACACCAAUCACCAAAGUCAUCAUCCAUGGCUGCCUCAUCCUCUUCUGCAACCUUCAAGAAGGUCUCUUUUUGCCACCCUUAGCUUGCACAGCCCGCAACCAUCUGCCGCCUACUGCACCACCAUCUUCUCAAGUAGACAGCCACAUCCGGUUUCGUCAGGUCCAUACACGUGUCGCUGCAACUACAGACGCAAAUGGAGACGCCACUGUUUCACGUAGUGAACGGCAGCAAGUUCCAUGACUAUGAGCCGGUGAAGAGCCCACCUGGGCUGUUGCUGGUGUAUGUGCUGUUAUCAUCAUCAUCUCAUUAAUUUUGGAGAAGGUCCUACACAAAGUUCGAAAAUUCUGCACCUAAAAAGAAAUGGAGGGCACGACAAAAGAAGAAGAAAAUGGAGGAAAGGAAUAAAGAAAGAAAAAGGUGUUAGUGGAAUUGUAAACAAUUCCACAAAGAAGUGGAAGACUAUUCUGCACCUAAAAAGAAAUGGAGGGCACGACAAAAGAAAAAAAAAAUGGAUGUCUAGAGAAAAGCAGAAAGUAAAAGCAAAAAGCAAAAGAAGAUAUAAAGAAGUAGACAUAAUUGCAGUGGUGAUGACAUGUAGAAAAGGGAAUUAUGGGCGUGACCCAUUGAGCAGAGGGUGGGCUUUAUUUUUGAAUGAUGUGAUUUAUUUUUUUUAUCUCUAAGAAAUAUCUGUAUAAACCACAUCAGAGGGUAAUAAUACAAAAAAAAAAAAAAACGGCAAAGCCCAAAAUUAAUGGGCUGGCAUGUCAUGGAGGGCGAAUGCCCAUAAGCCCAAAAUAGCACCAACCAGGUGACCAAAAGUAUGCCCAGUACUCCAAAAAUUAUUCGGCAACUUGCCUCUAUUAUCACCAACCAGGUGACCAAAAGUACGCCCAGUACUCCAAAAUUAUUCGGCAACCUGCCGCUAUUACCACCAACCAGGUGAUGAAAUGUACAACCCGUACUCCAAUAUCAUUUGGCAACCAACCAUUCAUACCACCAACCAGGUGAUGAAAUGUACAAACCGUACUCUAAAAUAAUUUGGCAAUUAGCCAUUUAUGCCACCAACCAGGUGAUCAAAAGUACACCCAGUACUUCAAAAUUAUACAUGAGCACUACUCAUGUCAUUCGUACAUAGACAUUCAUGAGCAUCACUCAUAUCAAUCAUACAUAAACAUUUAUGAGCAUCACUCAUGUUAACAUUCAUGAGCAUCACUCAUGUUAACAUCCAUGAGCAUCACUCAUGUCAAUCAAACAUUCAUGAGCAUCACUCAUGACAAUCAGCUUCAAAAGUUUCAUUUACAAAGCCUUAGCUUCAAAAGAGUCAUUUACAAAAGCUCUAGCUUCAAAAGCUUCAUUUACAGAGCUCCAACUUCAAAAGCUUCAUUUACAAAAGCUCUAGCUUCAAAAACUUCAUUUACAGAGCUCCAGCUUCAAAGCUUCACUUGCAAAGCUUCACCUACAAAGCUUCAGUGCAUGGUCUACAAAGACCGCCUCCGAACAACCGCCAUUUCAGCCCAUACAUGGAUUGAAUUUGAAGUCUCCAGCCAACAUCGUCUAUUGACCGAAGACUUGGGGGACUACAUUAUGUACCAUAUAUUAGGCCUCAACUGGGCCUUAUGAAAAAUACUUGGGGGACUCUAGCCCAUUAUUCAUGUACUGAGGAGCGAGCCCUUAUUUUAUAAAAAAGGACUCCCUCACCAUCAUUAGAGAGCAACGCCGCCAGCUGAACAACCGUCUCGCCGCCAGCAUCAACUCUAGCCUAUUAUUUAUGUAUUGAGGAGCGAGCCCUUAUUCUAUAAGAGGAACUCUCUCACUUUAAUUAGAGAGCACCCAUUAUUCAUGUACUGAGGAACGAGCCCUUAUUUUAUAAAAGGGACUCCCUCACCUUCAUUAGAGAGCAACGCCGCCAGCUGAGCAACCGUCUCACCGUGAGCAUCACUCCGAACCCAUAUUUAUGUAUUGAGGAGCAAGCCCUUAUUCUAUAAAAUAGACUCCCCUCACCACCAUUAGAGAGCAUCAACUCUAACCCAUCAUCCAUGUAUUGAGGAGUGAGCCUUUAUUCUAUAAAAGGGACUCCCUCACCUUCAAACGCUGCAAGCCGAGCUAACCAAGGCAACAUAAGCCACGAGCCGAGCAGCCUCGCAGCGUGUGCUACUUCUAGUUGAGCGUCAUUUUAGAUUGAGCACUGCCUCAUAUCGAACAUCAGUUCAAGACAGCAUCUAGUUACUUCGGCCCACACAUGGACUGAAUUUCAAGUCUCCAGCCAAAAGACUCUCUUGACUGAAGACUUGGGGGACUACUGUUUAUACCAUAUUUAGGGCCUCGUAUUUAGACCUCGUAUAAAUACUCGGGGGACUUAAAUGUAAUUAUGUAAUAAAGGAAGGGGCAAAUAUGUAAUUAGGGGAGGAGCCCUUAUUCUAUAAAAGGGCAUCCUCACCCUCACAAACGGGGGGGGGGGUCUCUCCUCAUCCCUCUCAAAGCUCUCACUCUCAGAGCUCUCUCUCCCUCACUUCUCAGAGAAAUAUAAUACAAUCAGUGUGGACGUAGCCCAAACCUUGGGGUGAACCACGAUACAUCUUGUGUCAUUUACAUUACUUGCAGAUUCACGGUCGGAUUUACGUUGUUCCAAGACCUCCGGUUUUGUGCAUCAACACCUUUCAUAGUCGGAUGGAGCAAAAUAUACUUCUUUCGUAUUUUCCCUAUGAAACCAACUUCAAAACUGAUAUACAAAUUAAAAAAUUUCAAACAUUCAAUUACCCAAAAACCACAGUGGUGGAAAUCAAGGCCGGCCCUAAGAAUUUAAGGGCCCUAUGCAAGAUUUAGAUGGAGGCCCUUCAUUUUUUAAUACUGUAUUUUCUUUGUUAUUUUUUUUUUCAAUUUGUAUCUAUAGAAUUUAAAUACUACAAAUUAGAGCACCACUUUGAGUGGACAAUUGAGUGUUUCUUGUCUUGAAAGGUCUUCAGUUUGAAAUAUGUUGCAUGGUUUUUUGUGUAAAACUUAACAACUUUUUAAGUUAAUAAAUUUGCAAAACUUAAAAAUAGCAUUUUUUUUCAAUUUGUAUCCAUAAAAUUUAAAUACUACAAAUUAGAGCACCACUUUGAGUGGACAAAAGUGUUUCUUGUCUUGAAGGGUCUUCAGUUUGAAAUAUGUUGCAUGAUUUUUUGUGUAAAACUUAUCAACUUUUUAAGUUAAUAAAUUUGCAAAACUUAAAAAUAGCAAAAUGGUUCUACAAGGACUUGGACUUGGGCCAUGUACAAGAAGAUAGAAUGCCUACACCACUAGCACUAGUGUGGUGAUUAUUAUUAUUUUGCACAUUUAAGUAUAUAAUAGGUAUCUGUUUACAUGUAAAGAAACUUUGGAGGCCCUUCCGAAUUUGGGGCCUUGUGCGGUGGCACUUUUUGCACACUCUCAGGGCCGGCUCUGGUGGAAAUGAAUUGAGCCAUUGCAUGACAGCGUGUUUUCGAACCCCAUCGGUGACUAAUCUAAUAAAACUUAUCGUUUGACAAAAAAAAUUCAAUUACCCAGAAACCAAAAAUGGAAAUUUUAUUAAAUUAAAUUAAAAUAAACUCAUUGGCAAAAGGAACAUAAAAAUGAAAAUUUCUACUAAAUUAAUUAAUACAAACUAAUGCGCAAGAGGAGCAUAAACAACCUUUUGAAUUAAUCUAAAGAGAUACAAACUAAAAAUACCGGUUGUGGAGCAAAAAAUAAUCACAAGGCGACACGUGGAUUCUUGGGUAAAAGAGGACAAAAAUACCCUUGAGGCAUACUGGGAUUCCUACGCGCGAGCAACGGGCAAUCAUCCCUCAACCAAGUCAAAAGUGCCCAAAAUAGGUAACAAUUUAAAGCCUAUUUCAUCAAAUCCUUUCUAUAAGGUAAUUCCUAAAACCUAAUUUAUUCUAUAUAUUUUGUAUUCCAUUAUUUAGCUAAUCAAUUAGCUAAAUGAUAUUUUCCUUUCAUAUUCCCUAAAAAUUGAUUAAUUAAGGGAUUAAUUACCUAAUCAAUCCCUUAAUUAUCAAUUAAAACACCCAUUCACACCUAAAACUACUAAGAGGUCGGCUACCUCCCUUUUCCUAACCUUUUUCACUUUUCUCCAUUUUAUUACCCCAUUUAUACAAAUAAUCAAUUUUGUAACUCCUAAUUAAACCUAAAUUAAACCCAAAAAACCCUAGCCACCUCCUAUCCCUAUAAAUAUACUCUCAUUCUCACCAAAAAAGCCAAUUCCAACACUUUGGCAAAAAUCCCAAAAUUCUCUAAACACUCUUUCUCUCUAAAUUCUAACUUUGGCAUCGGAGGUUCUUCGGCCAAACCCCCCCAUUCAUCGAGGGCGCACGAGGCUCUUGGCCUUAACCUAAGGUGUUAAUUGUUUUGUAGGUGCAAAAUUGUCCAAGAUCAAGGAGGAAGAAAUUUGCAUCCACAAAUUGGUGCUUUCAUUGAGAGUUGAAAUCCAUACUCGUAGAAGACUCUCGCACAAAAAGGUUUUUUCUUUAUUUUCUAGUCCAUUUGAAUAUUUUUCAUACGUUCUUAUUAUUAGAUUUUUUUACUUGCAAAGGUUCUUUGAUAAAACGUAAGCAAAAUAUGAUGGCUAGAAAUUUAGAAAAUCCACAAGUGAAAAUUCUAAUGUUCAAGAAAUGGGAUUGCGGAGAUCCGUGAGGCUAAAUGCGACAAUAAGUGGAGCAGCACCACCACCACGAGUUUCCACCAUGGGAACCACCACGGUGGCAGGGUCUAUGGUGCCUUCACCACGGCUCGAGCCAUGCCAUCCAAGGCUCACGGCCCAAGUCGUGCCAUCCAAGUUUGCACGGGCCCAGGCCCAAGCCUCGCAUUCGCAUGCAUCACAUACUAAGCAGCCUGCUCCAGCCAAGCAACCUGCUCUCGCGGCCCAGCCUGCUCUUGCCAAGCAACCUACUCUCACGGCCCAUCCUGCUCCAGUGGGUUUCCAAGUAGCCCAAGUCGGCCCAAGACUAUCUUAACCAUCCGGACCUACCAUCGAGCCGGGGGCAUUCUCACCAUAUUUUUUCAUGGAUUUGACAUUUCCCAACUUAAAUCUCGCGCCCGGAGUCUACCACCCUUCCACUGCCCAAGGAGGCGCAUUCCUUCCAAGCUUUUCCAAUCCAAAUGGCGAACAACACUUGUCUCGACAAGUCAUAGAGUUGACGAGCGCCCUUGCACAACAGACAACCUUGGUGAAUCAACUUUUGCAACGCAUCGGGAUCCAACGUGCCCGGACGAGGUAUCCCGAAGUAGGACAAAGGCAGACAGACCUUUUCAGCAGUGUCUCGGUAAGCAGCCACUCGACUAGCCACAAGCCGAACGUUUGGGCAGUGUACAUUCCCGUCUUAGCGCGCGGAGAAGCAUGCACUCUCGACUAGGCCCACGGAUGAGCAUACAUUCACAGUUGGGGUCAUACUCCGAUAGUCAACAUGAGUAACCUUCCAGAAAAAUUGUCCAUUCGUGGCUAAGCCCACAAAGAGCAUCAUCCACCUCACAUCAGAGUAGGCAACACGACGGACGGAGAGAAGCAGUCACUCAAUCCAGCUCAAGUUCAACCAGCAGCCUGGGAAAAACUCGUUCGCCUGCUAGGAACGCACCACAUGCACUGCAUCCGCAACAUAGACGAGCCAAACACAUGGAAGAGCAGCCUAGACCAGCAAGUCAUGGCUGGGGGGCAGCCGAGAGCUCCGCUACCCUAACAAAGGCAAAUUCAGGAAGAAGUAGAGAGACUAUUGACCAAGCGAUUGCAUGAUUUCCAACGCAACGAGGUCACCGACGAGGCACUACGACGGAACAUGACCAACAUAAGCAGGUCACCCUUCACAGACGAGAUCGAGCAGGCAGAGCCUCCACGCGAGUUCAGCAUGCCACAUUUCACAUAUUUCAAAGGGGAUGAAGACCCAGAGAGACACUUAAAGCGCUACCGAAGCGCAAUGAUCCUUUAUUGAAACAACGAUGAUCUCAUAUGUAAGAUAUUCGCCACCACUCUACAAGGCGAGGUGCAAGAUUGGUUCUACACCCUACCGCCAUAAUCCAUCCAGAAUUUCUACGAACUUUCUUUGGUUUUCACCAAAGAAUAUUCAUCUUAUCGCCCGAUCAAAAAGAAGGUUGACCAUUUGUUCGACAUCAAGAAGAACCCAAAGGAAUCGCUUCGCGACUAUGUGAGGAGGUUCAAAGUAGAGAAGGCAAAAAUAGUCGGAUGCAACGACUCGAUAGCUAAAGCAGUCUUCCAAAAAGGACUUCCAGCAGACCACCCGCUAUUCAAAAAAUUGAUCAUGAAAGAAGAUCUAACUCUAGCAGACUCUUUUACUUUGGCAGAGAAGCAUGCAUUUUGGGAUGAGGCUUGCCAAUGCACAUUCAAGGACUUGAAGAAGUACCCGACAUCACUUCCAUAGAAGCAGCGGAUGACUUAUUCGCAUGUUUGACGGUAUCUAAAGUAGCAAUAAGCUCUACCAUCAUGCGAGAAGAGCUGGGGGCCCGACUACCUGUAUUCUACAGUUCGAUGCUAUUAAAAAUUUAAAAGCUGACUUUGGCGAUAAUUGUGUAACCCAAAAGCUUAAGUUUUACCUUCAAACGCAAGCAGUCAUCAUCAUGACGCACUAUUCCACCGAAUCCAAACCGACAACGAUAAAGGCGUAGACCCUGCCAGAUGCAAAGUUUUCUGACGAACGUAAGAACUCAGCCUAACGACGCCCCGAAGGCAGUCGAGCACACUUUGGCCACACCUGCUCCCUCAAUGGAGAUUUUUGGGGUUUGCAUGUCGACGGCGCAUCCAACUACGAAAGCUCGCGAGUAGUCGUGGUUCUUGCCACCCCAGACAUUUCAAUGCUCAAGCAGGCGAUCACUCUAAACUUCAAAGCAUCUAACAACGAAGCAGAGUACGAAGCCCCACUAGCAGACCUUCAACUGACAAAAGACUUGGUGGUGAACAAGCUUUCCAUUCAUUCCGAGUUCUAGCUAAUCACCAGCCAGACUACCAGGGGCAAAUGCAUGAUGAUCGUGGAAACCGACUACUUCACCAAAUAAGUAGAAGCAGAGCCCAUGACGAUCAUGUUUCAGACAGACAUAGAGCGCUUCAUAUGAAGGAGUAUCAUUUGUCGAUUUGGCAUCCCUUAAUCUAUCGUCACCGACAACGGCCCGUAAUUUAUGGGCAAAGAUUUGGUGAAGUUAUUCAAAAAAUAAGGCAUCAAGUAGCACAUGUCUACGCCAAGAUAUCCUCAAGGCAAUAGGCGGGCCAAAGCAUCUACUAAGAUGAUCCUCGACUGCCAUAAGAAAUCCCCCACCAAUAAGAAAAGAAAAUGGCCAGACGAACUCCAAGGAUGUCUAUGGGCAUAUCGCACAACCAAAAGACGAGCAACCGAAAGUAGAUGGCCACAAGCUUAGAUCUGGCAGAAGAGAGUCGCGAACAGACUAUCAUUCGCAUUGCAGCCUACCAGCAUCAGCUCCUCUCCAGCUACAACAAAAGGGCCAAGAUCCGGCAGUUCCAACCCGGAGAUCUGGUCAUAAGAAAAACCUUAAUCACUGCCAGCAGAAAAGGCUCCAAAAAUAUGGAUCCCAUAUGGGAAAGUCCGUACAAGAUCAGCAGAGUAGGUGGCAAGAACAAUUACACCCUCGCCACCAUAAAACGACUAAAAGAUCAAAAAACAGUGGAACGCCUACAAUCUGAGGAAGUACCAUGUGUGACAUUUCGCUACAUCAAAGCCCGAAGACUCAAGCAGCUCGACGGGCACUACCUCACCAGCCGAGGAUUAUCCAGUUGUUAUGCAGUUAUUACCUUACAUCUAAGUUCUCGUUCGUUUAACUCAUUUUUCAAUGAGGAAUUCAUAAGUAAUCACGACUUGGCUUGGUUGCAUGCUUACAACAACUGAUCACUCCUGCACUUCAAAAGAAGACCGCGCCCUUCUUAGGGACUUACUGCAGGAAUUGCGCCCCCCGAAGGACCAACCAUGCUCUUCAGUGCGAGAGGGUAAACUAAUUGCUCUCCAACGCGAGAGGGUAAACCAAUUCCCCGACACCCACAUGGGUCAGCUCUCCAAGAACGGGAGGAUAAACUCUACACUCUGAAUAUCCAGACGUGGAUGAGCCGGGCUGCCCUAGUAUAACUAGAUGCACGAUGGCUUGCGCUGGGAUUCCUAGAAGUAGCCGCAAUGGUCUUUUUCAAGGCUUAGCUAACUGAAGGAUUUUGGGUCUCUUGGCCUAAUCCGUGGGGAACCGGGCCCUAGAGACGGAGAGGGCACAUUACACAGUACAUCCGAUGGACGACUGCCCUGGAAUCCUAAAGCUGCUACCGAGUGCACUAAGGUAGCCUACGGAUUCCAGAAGACUGCCUACGGCUUGCCCUUCGAGCAGUAAAGCUGCACUAGACUUAUACAACCACACAUUCUUGUGAAAGGUUAAACAAGCUAGCACGCAUAUACGAAGUUUUAUCCACUGCCGACAUGCUACGUAGUCGAUAAGCUUCACCUCUGCUAAGCGCGGAACAACCUACACCAAGUCCUAAAGUGUUGUGAUACUUGCUACGCAACCUACGGAAUUGGAGAAAGUCAAGGUUAACAGCCUAGUGGUUACGCGGACUUGUCUGCUUCUAUAAGUAAGGCAUCCGGCUGCCAACCCAAUGGCUAACAACUUUGCAAAGUUCUACACCAAAACCUACGGCUGCAUAGGCUACAUGAGCAUGUCUGCUUAUAAAAAAAUAGCAUGCUUGCCACUGGUCUAUCAAGUCUAAAGGUUAGGGCAUGAACAAAAGAAGCAAAAAUGAAGAAAAGCUAAGGAAAACAUGUUUAUAAACGACUAGCAAAGGCCGAAAGAGUUCAAGCAAAACAAGAGCUACAAAGAAAAUCUUAAAGGUUGCCUAGAUGACUACACUUUAGCAGCCUGGACAUCCGACGACUAUUCGGUCGCCACAUCUUCAGCAGCCGCGAAGCUCUUAGCAGCGGCAUCACCCCCGACUGCUCCAGCCUGGGCACCAACUUCUCCAACUACUUCACCAAUACCAACAUGGACGCGCUGCAGCUCAUCCACUUCUUUCUUCAAACUUUCGUUGAUAUUCAGUACACCUUGAAGUUCCAACAUUUGGGGUUCAAGCCUAUCGACGAUUCUCUUGAAGUGGAUCACUUGAUUAUAAGCAGCAAUCAACUUUUCAUCCUUUGCAUAAGCAGGGAAAGAAGUCUUUGGUUUUUUCUAAGCCGUUAUCUCUUGAACAGGCAGGGAAGAUCCCUUUUCCCACCUUCACAUGCAGCAGGAUCCACAGCGGUGAUUGGACGAGCCAAUGCAUCCGCCUUGAUCCUAUUCACCUCUUAUUUUGGGAGCAGCCCAUGUUUGUCCUGACGAAGAGAGUUAAAGUAGCCAACGCCAUUCAUGGUACCUAGCAGGGGAGUUCAACCCAACAUUCCAGCAGCUCAUGAGGCCCACAACCUUUUCAUUUCUCUCAAUCACCUGCCUAGCUCGCGUCAUGUCUAAAAGCCCAAAAAGACAUGAGCCAUGUGAUUCGCCUAGCACUGCGCCACAUCGCCACAAUCCGUGGCCUUAGCCAUACAAGCUGCCUUUGGUUCUAGCCAAGUCGAGCAGUUUAAAGCAGUGGUCCCUGCCACAAUACCUCAUCGGCCCAUGUCGAGCCGACUCCUGGCCCAUGCUAGCCAACAUGCCGCACCACCCCGACGGCUGCCCCAAGGUAGCACCAUCCAAGAAGAAGACAAGGAAAAUUAAUUUUUUCUUACCUCAGUGCGGCAUGAAGAAGACGAAGAAAGCAACGAAAGACGGUCCUUUGCACGUGCAAGAUGUAGAAAAUUGCUAGAGGAGGGGGAACAAAUAUCCUCUAAGCUAUCUCUCUCUUGUAGGAUACAAUAAAUCGUUCUCCAAAGUUGAUUUAAUAACCCACUUAAGGUGGACUUAAAUAGGAUUUGAGAGAAAUUUAUUUCCCUUUCCUAGAAGGAUCUAAUUUCCUAUUAAAGAGAGAAUCUACAUCAAAAUAGGAAGCAGUCCCACGUUUCCUAAAGCAAGAUGAUCUCUACACCUGCUGCAAUUUCCUACGAGCAGCCCAACAGGUGUGGGGGCAUUUGUGGAGCAAAAAAUAAUCACAAGGCGACACGUGGAUUCUUGGGUAAAAGAGGACAAAAAUACCCUUGAGGCAUACUGGGAUUCCUACGCGCGAGCAACGGGCAAUCAUCCCUAAACCAAGUCAAAAGUGCCCAAAAUAGAUAACAAUUUAAUGCCUAUUUCAUCAAAUCCUUUCUAUAAGGUAAUUCCUAAAACCAAAUUUAUUCUAUAUAUUUUGUAUUCCAUUAUUUAGCUAAUCAAUUAGCUAAAUGAUAUUUUCCUUUCAUAUUCCCUAAAAAUUGAUUAAUUAAGGGAUUAAUUACCUAAUCAAUCACUUAAUUAUCAAUUAAAACACCCAUUCACACCUAAAACUACUAAGAGGUCGGCCACCUCCCUUUUCCUAACCUUUUUCACUUUUCUCCAUUUUAUUACCCCAUAUACAAAUAAUCAAUUUUGUAACUCCUAAUUAAACCUAAAUUAAACCCAAAAAACCCAGCCACCUCCUAUCCCUAUAAAUAUACUCUCAUUCUCACCAAAAAAGCCAAUUCCAACACUUUGUAAAAAAUCCCAAAAUUCUCUAAACACUCUUUCUCUUUAAAUUCUAACUUUGGCAUCGGAGGUUUUUCGGCCAAAGCCCCCCCAUUCAUUGUGGGCGCGCGAGGCUCUUGGCCUUAACCUAAGGUGUUAAUUGUUUUGUAGGUGCAAAAUUGUCCAAGAUCAAGGAGGAAGAAAUUUGCAUCCACACGGGUCUUGCCAAGAAUCAUGCAAUUCAACACCAUCAAAUUAAUCGUCCCAUUAGGUAAAGUUUCCGGCUUUGCAACAAAACUCUAUAGUGGUGGAGCCAAAAAACCAGAUUAGGAAGGGCCUUUCAGCCAUAGAAAGAAAUGAGCCUUUAAAAUAUAAUUAAUGACGAGAAAUUAAAGGUUUUGUUUUUUGUAUUGGCAUGGAAAAUUCUAAUAAAACAAGAAUGGUAGAACUUUACAUUUUGUAUAGAAAACUUAGUAUUGAAAUAAUUAUAUCAUAUGAACAAAACUUGUUUCAAGCUUUGAUAAAAAUAAAAAAAAUAAAAAAUAGAUUCGAACAAAAAUCUAAGAUCAUGACUUAAUUAGAUUUUUCUCUAGACUAUUUAGGCCUUUGAUUUAUAUCAACUAGCUAAAAAAAAGUAUGAUUUUUAUAUGGUAAAACGUAAGGCAAAUUAUAACCAAAAAAAAGGAGGGCUUAGUUUUAUUAUGGGGAAAAAUAAGGCAAAGUAUAAGGAUUUUGCUUCCAAUUUAAUCACAGAUUGGAAAUGUGUUCAUCUGUAAUUUGCUAGCAGCAAGAGUUGUUGCUGAUUUUUUCAGCAGUCAAGUUUUGUUCCAAAAAAAUAAACAUCUAAACAGUGUCGGAGCACAAGCAAGUCUCCAACCGAGACCAUUUGGAUAUGCAAAAAGCCAAAAUCCAAUGAGCUACAUGCUCAUUUUGGUAAAAGCUUGCAGACAACAUAUAUAAGACCUGAAAUUUCAAGAUAGGCCAUCACUGGUCUCUAUCUGGCUCCGCCACUGAAACUCUACAAAUAUAAAAAUCAUAACCCAAUUUAGACGAUAAAUUUAUGGAAGCAUAUAAAUAGAGAAAUAAUUUGCUAUUUUAAAAAAUUAUAUCCAUGUAAUCAUAUAAUAUGUAGCAAACCUCGUUGAGAAGAAAUUGAGAAUUUUGUAAGAUGAAGACUUUGUGCACAUUUAUUUAUUUAUUUUUUCUGAUUUCCUAGAAUGAAAUGAGAUUUGGGGGAGGAUAUAUCGGCAGUUUAGUUUGAUAGAAGCUACUUUUUGCUCAACGUGGGUGCCGUUUUUCCAUUUUUCACAUUCAAUUUUUUUAUUGAGGGUUCAUCACGUCCAUUUUUUAAUUUUAUUUUCAUGUUUACAAUCAUCCUGCGUUUUUUUUAAUUGUAUUUUCUUAUUAUUAUACAUUUUAAUGGGUGGGAUCUUAAUCUCUCUCCUAAAAUGGAGGAGGAGUGGGGUUAAUAUCUCCUUAAUCAGCAUGUCUUAAAUGAAAGAGCAGUAUGGCUAAUCUCUCCUUAAUCGGCAUGUCUUCCCCCUUUUUUUUUAUUUUUUUUCCUUUUUUUCUUCUAAUAAAAGGAAUUAAAUAUUUUUUUUCUUUACACAAUUGCCCUUACUUUUUUUUUUUCAUAUUCUAGAAUAUGCCCACAAACAAAUUGUGUGGACAUUUUUACUUUUGUUUUUAAAAUUGAGGGAGAGAGGAAGAGAGUGAAAGAAAAACGUGGGAAUGGGGAGAGAUGGAUAGAGGUUUAUUUUUUUAUAUAUAUUUUUUUAAUUAGAGAUGAUAAAAUUACAUGUAUGUGAUGUUUAAACAAAACAAAAAAAUAAAUUUUUGUUUUAUGAAAUUAUGUUAUUGUCCUUAACUUUUUUUGUAGUGAUAAAAACAAAUGUCUUUUUCACAUUUUUUGGGUUGAUAAAGAAGGUUUCAAUAAUAUAGUACAUAUUUUGUAUCAAUAUGAUAAGUCGGUUUACAAGCAUUUUUAGUCCAAGUGUAAUGGUUGGGUUCAAGCUUAAAAUUUAAGUUUUAAAUCCCCCGAAAGCAUUUCCAGUCAUUAGGUUUUAUUAGGUCUUGGUGAGAAAAAAAACACCAUUGGCCCAGAUUCCGCCCACAAUUUAAUAUUUGUACUUAUCAAUUGACAUUCUUUCAUUUUAUUUUUUUUAGUUGAAAAAUUUUAUGAACUUUUGCACCGUUAUAUUUAAAUUAAGAUACUGCAAGUCUCUUAACUUGAAAAGAGAAAAAAGCAUAAACCCUAUUAAACCAUUAUUUAACUAAUAAAAUAGUAUAUAAUAAAGAAGUUAAUAGAAAACCUAUCGUAAAUACAAACAGAAUGACUUGCACCAAAGCCUAUUAAACCAAAAAGAAAUAAUGAGAAUGUAGAGAGGAUAUUAAUAUUUGUAAAUGCAAAGAAGUAAAUGAAACAUACACCCACUACUGGUCCAAAUUUGUAAUCCUUAUUUUAGAUUGUUAAAAUGAAACUCAAAAUGAACGAUGCUAAGUAUACAUGUAUGCUGUCUUUGCUUGCGAAACUCAAGCAGUUUACAAAAGCUAAGAAACUCUAUACUGAAUAGAAUUCUGUUUCGGAGACACUAGGGUUUCAAAUAUACUCCUUGCAGCAUACAUCAAAGAAAACCAAACGAAAGGACUGAAACCUUUCAUAGUCGGAUGGAGCAGAAUAUACUUCUUCCGUAUUUUCCCUAUGAAACCAACUUCAAAACUGAUUAUACAAAUUAAAAAUUUUCAAACAUUCAAUUACCUAGAAACCACAGUGGUGGAAAUGAAUUGAGCCAUUGCAUGAUAGCGUGUCUUCGAACCACAUCGGUGGCUAAUCUAAUAAAACUUAUCGUUUGACAAAAAAAAUUCAAUUACCCAGAAACCAAAAAUGGAAAUUUUAUUAAAUUAAAUUAAAAUAAACUCAUUGACAAAAGGAACAUAAAAAUGAAAAUUUCUACUAAAUUAAUUAAUACAAACUAAUGCACAAGAGGAGCAUAAACAACCUUUUGAAUUAAUCUAAAGAGAUACAAACUAAAAAUACCGGUCUUGCCAAGAAUCAUGCAAUUCAACACCAUCAAAUUAAUCGUCCCAUUAGGUAAAGUUUCCGGCUUUGCAACAAAACUCUAUAGUGGUGGAGCCAGAAAACCAGAUUAGGAAGGGCCUUAGAAAUUAGCCUUUAAAAUAUAAUUAAUGAAGAGAAAUUAAAGGUUUUGUUUUUUGUAUUGGCAUGGAAAAUUCUAAUAAAACAAGAAUGGUAGAACUUUACAUUUUGUAUAGCAAACUUAGUAUUGAAAUCAUUAUAUCAUAUGAACAAAACUUGUUUCAAGCUUUGAUAAAAAAUAAAAAACAGAUUUGAACAAAAAUCUAUGAUCAUGACUUAAAUUAGAUUUUUCUCUAGAAUAUUUAGGCCUUUGAUUUAUAUCAACUAGCUAAAAAAAAGUAUGAUUUUUAUAUGGUAAAACGUAAGGCAAAUUAUAACAAAAAAAAAGGAGGGCUUAGUUUUAUUAUCGGGAAAAAUAAGGCAAAUUAUAAGGAUUUUUGCUUCCAAUUUAAUCACAGAUUGGACACGUAUCCAUCUGUAAUGUGCUAGCAGCAAGAGCUGUUGCUGAUUUUUUUAGCAGCCAAGUUUUGUUCUAAAAAAAAAUCUAAAAAGUGUCAGAGCACAAGCAAGUCUCCAACCGAGACCAUUUGGAUAUGCAAAACGCCAAAAUCCAAUGAGCUGCAUGCUCAUUUUGGUAAAAGCUUGUAGACAGCAUGUAUAAGACCUGAAAUUUUAAGAUAGGCCUGGGCCAUCACUAGUCUCUAUCUGGCUCCGCCACUGAAACUCUACAAACAUAAAAAUCAUAACCCAAUUUAGACGUUAAAUUUAUGGAGGCAUAUAAAUAGAGAAAUAAUUCGCUAUUUAAAAAAAAAUCUAUCCGUGUAAUCAUAUAAUAUGUAGCAAACCUUGUUGAGAAGAAAUUACGAAUUUUGUAAGAUGAAGACUUUGUGCACAUUUAUUUUUUCUGAUUUCCUGGAUUGAAAUGAGAUUUGUGGAAAGAUAUAUCGGCAGUUUAGUUUGAUAGAAGCUAUGUUUUGCUCAACGUGGGUGCAGUUUUUCCAUUUUUCACAUUCAAUUUUUUUUUAUUGAGGGUUCAUCACGUCCCUUUUUUAAUUUUAUUUUCAUGUUUACAAUCAUCCUGCGUUUUUUUUAAUUGUAUUUUCUUAUUAUUAUACAUUUUAUGGGAUAUUAAUCUCUCUCCUAAAAUGGAGGAGGAGUGGGGUUAAUCUCUCCUUAAUCAGCAUGUCUUAAAUGAAAGAGCAGUGGGGCUAAUCUUUCCUUAAUCGGCAUGUCUUCCCCCUUUUUUAUUUUUUAUUUUUUUUCCUUUUUUUCUUCUAAUAAAAGGAUUUUUUUUCUUUACACAAUUGCCCUUACCUUUUUUUUUGAUAUACUAGUAUAUGCCCACAAACAAAUUGCGAGAAUUUUUUACUUUUGUUUUCAAAAUUAAUGGAGAGAGGAAGAGAGCGAAAGAAAAAUGUGGGAAUGGGGAGAGGUGGACAGAGGUUUAUUUUUUAUUUUUUUUUAAAUUAGAGAUGAUAAAUUCACAUGUAGGUGUGGUUUAAACAAAAAAAGUAAAAUUUUUAUUUGUGAAAUUACGUUAUUGUCCUUUUUUUUGUGAUAGAAAACAAAUGUCUUUUCAUACUCUUUUAGUUGACAAAGAAAGUUUCAAUAAUGUGGUAUAUAUUUUGUAUCAUUAUGAUAAUUCAGUUUACAAGAGUUUUUAGUUCGAGUGUAAUGAUUGUGUUAAAGCGUAAAAUUUAAGUUUUAAAUCCCCUAAAAGCAUUUCCCAUCAUUAGGUUUUAUUAAGUCUUGGUGAGAAAAAAAACCAUUAGCCCAAAUUCCGUCCACAAUUCAAGCCAUAACCGUUGGAGAAAAAAACUGUGUAUGGGUUAUGGCUUAAAAUUUUAAGCUUUAACUCACAUCAUUGCACCUGGUCUUCAAUUGGUUUGUAAUGCUCAUAAGCGUUUGUUCUACAAGUGCUUUCAUAGAGAAACAUUGGAUCUUUUAUUAAAUGUUCAAAUACUUAUUGGAAAAUCACUUGGAAGUGCUUCCUAAAUCAUCGGUUGCUAAAUGCGUUUCUAUAAAACGCUUCUAUGAUACAUAAGUAGUUCACAAAUGCUUCUAAUUACAAUUUUCUUUCUCGACAACCAUAAAGACUUCUGAUUGCCUUUGUCAAUAUAAUUUAUAACCGCUUACGGGUCUUAGAAGUGUUUUUCCUAAAGAAGCUGCCAUGUGAUUUUUUCAUAAAGUAGUUGGAUUUUCAAUAAGAUUUUUAGAUGAGUUUUUCUAAAGAAGCUGCUAUACAGGCCGUAUUCUUUUGGAUGAGUGCUGUGAUCCGUAUCCCAUAUCUGCAUCUGUACCACAUCGUCUGCUAGAUUGAGACGAGAAUAAGUCCUUGAAUCCACGACGUACUUAUCUAGCUUUGCUAAUGUUUACAUCCCGACUACCAUGAAAGCAUAAUAAAGUUAUGGCGGGUGCCCGGUGAAUAUAUGAGUAUCGAACAACUAAAGCACGCAGAAGUAUAAGCCGGACUCACAAGUCGGCAAACGCUCAUGCUUGUAAUCGAAGGGAGUCAGGGGACUGCGCUACAGAACUAACAGCCUCCUUAGCCUCAGCAGACUCAGCUGUUUUGCUGACUUAGUUCUGUAAUCGACAGCUUCCUUCCGUCAUUCCUGACUGCCAUGUAAGCCUCUCGCGCAGGUGAAGGUGAGUUUUAAUGGCAUGGCGGCAGGCCAUUCUGUCCCUCCCACCCUAAGUGGGGCCUCUGAGAAUCCCAAUUGCUUGAGCAGGAGGAAGAACAGAGAAGAUGGUUUUGGAGAAGGUAAACAGGUAAAAAGAACAUAAAAGAUAAAAUUCAAACAAGAUCAAACGGUGAAUCUAAGAGAGAAUUUAGAAAGAAAAUAGGCUUCAUUGGCAAAAUACUGGAAUACAAUGUUGAACAAAAUGACCAAGAUCACUAAACGUCCUACAUCUUGGAUUUUAGAAUACCAUAAAAAAAGUACCAAAUUUCAAAACUUAAACUAAGAAACACAUCUUGGCUCAACAAAAACAGCUACAUCGACUUCUUCCAUCUUGGGACCAGCACUGCUGCCACCAGCAGGAGGAACAUCUUCAUCCAUGGCACCACCGACAUCAGGUCUGCCAGCCCUGGUGCACCUUGGAAAUGAUCGGAUUGCAGAUGCUCUCCAGCUCCUUCAGCUUGUCCUCAAACUCGUCAGCCUCAGCAAGCUGGUUUUCAUCAAGCCAUUGAAUAGCCUGGUUGGUCUGGUCACUCGCAUCCUUGAUCUUCUUGAUCGUGUUCAUCAUGUUGAUAGCAUAAAUCACCAAAGUCUUCCCCAUGUUGCAGGCAUAAUUCUCCAAAGCAAUCUUGGCCUCCACCUUCUUCUUGUGCUUCUCAUCUUCUGACAUGUACUUCUUAGCCUCUUGAACCAUUUUCUCCAUUUCUUCCUUCGACAAUCUUCCCAUGUAAUUGGUGAUGGUAAUCUUCUUCUUCUGCUCUGUAGUCCUGUCUUUAGCAGAGACGUUGAAGAUACCGUUGGCAUCAAUACCAAAGCAGACAGUGAUUUGCGGAACACCCCUUGGAGCAAGAGGAAUGCCAGAAAGCUCAAAUUUUCCCAACAAGUUGUUAUUGCGAGUCCUUGUCCUUUCACCCUCAUAUACUUGGAUCAAGAUACCAGGCUGAUUGUCUGAGUAGGUAGAGAAGACUUGUUCCUUCUUGGUUGGAACGGUUGUGUUCCUUGGAAUAAACACAGUCAUCACACCUCCGGCAGUCUCCAAACCAAGGGACAAAGGAGUGACAUCCAGAACCAAUAAAUCCUUCACCUUCUUGUUACCCUCACCGCUCAAGAUGGCAGCCUGCACAGCGGCGCCAUAACCAACAGCCUCGUCUGGGUUGAUGCUUCUGCACAGCUCUUUGCCCUCGAAGAAGUCCUGCAACAACUGCUGCACCUUUGGAAUCCUAGUAGAACCGCCCACUAGCACAACAUCAUGGACCGAGCACUUGUCCAUCUUUGAAUCUCUCAAACACUUCUCAACGGGCUUCACACACUUUCUGAAAAGAUCCAUGUUAAGCUCUUCAAACCUAGCACGGGUAAUGGUUGAGUAGAAAUCGACACCCUCGUACAAAGAAUCGAUCCCAAUUGUGGUCUGAGAAGUGGAUGAGAGAGUCCUCUUUGCGCUCUCACAAGCAGUUCUUAACCUCCUAAGGGCUCUUGCGCUGCUGCUGAUGUCCUUCUUGUUUUUCCUCUUGAACUCUUGAACAAAGUGAUUCACCAUUCUGUUGUCGAAAUCUUCUCCUCCCAAGUGGGUGUCGCCGGCAGUUGCCUUCACUUGAAAGAUACCCUCUUCACCUGUGAGCAGGGAGACAUCAAAAGUGCCUCCGCCAAGAUCGAAAAUCAAGACAUUCUUCUCCCCAACGCUGGUUGCCUUCUUGUCAAGACCGUAUGCAAAAGCGGCAGCGGUGGGCUCAUUCAUAAUACGCAGAACAUUGAGGCCGGCAAUGACCCCAGCAUCCUUCGUGGCCUGACGCUGAGAAUCGUUGAAGUAAGCCGGGACAGCAACAACGGCAUUCUUUAUAGAUGAGCCAAGAUAGGCCUCAGCAAUCUCACGCAUCUUGAAGAGAACCAUGGAGGAAAUUUCUUCAGCAGUGAACUGCUUCUCUUCGCCCUUGUAUGUGACAACAAUCAUGGGCUUGUCACCGGGGCCGGAAAUGACCUUGAAAGGCCAAUGCUCCAUGUCCCUCUGAACAGAAGGGUCAGAGAAUCUCCUACCAAUCAACCGCUUGGCAUCUGAAAAAUUAACCAAGCUCGUUAAAAAAUACUAAUUUAUUAAUAAUUCAUAACAUAGAACAAGCUACAAUAUCAAGCUAAAUCAAUUAAAACUUAUCAAAAAUAAAAGUAACCAAAUAGAUCAUGCCAGACACUAAAAACUCGGAAAGCUUUUUUAAAUGGGUUUUUAUUACAAACAGUCCCUAAAAUUGAUUCAACUCAUCAAGAUGAUCCUUGAAAUUGAAAAUCGAUCAAUUUGGUAUAUGAAAAUGGGGGGUCAGAAAUCAAUGUGAUCAUUCUGUCACAAUUCCGUCAAACUCUAUUAUGUGUUGAUGUGGCACGUAAGUGGGUCUUACAAGACUAAUGAAUAUUGCCAUAUGGAUUAGAAAUACUUAAAAUAAUUAAAAAUAUAUAUUUUUGGAUAAUUACAAAAAAAAAAAAAAAAAAAAAAAAAAAAAACAGUCAUCUUCUUCUCCCACCCAAGGAAGCUGCACCCCUCCACUUCGGCUCCGAAUCAGAAACUUCAUGCCUGAUAUCUAGAAGCCCCAAAGCCCUUAAUAUCGCAUCCACCGCACAAUGAAGUGACACAUCCCCAUAAUUCGAAUACAAAAUUCAAAAAUUAAAUCGAAAAUGUAAUAAAAUAAAUUAAAAAAAUAUGAAAUUACGGGAAGAAAAAGCAGAUUAAUGGAGGAAUACAUUCAUCUUUUAUUUUAAUUUUUAUUUAUUUAUAAGUUUUUAAUUAUAUAAAUAAUUUUUUAAUUAUUUAAAUAUUUUAAAUCCACAGAGCAAUAUUUAAUUAUAUUUGUGGCACCUGUGCCACAAAGAAUAAGAAUUUUUGACGUAAUUGUAACGGAAUGACCACAUUGAUUAGCGACAUCAAUUUUCAGAGAAUAUUAACCUGCAAAGUUCAAAAAAUAAUUAAAAAAUAAAAAAUAAAAAAUAAACCUGCAAAAUUAUUUAUCACACCCAGCCUAAAAAAAUAAUUGUGUUUGGGAUAAAAUCUGAACUUUGGGCCAGAGAGAAAGUCGGCCCAAACCCAAGGCCCAGAGGAAAACUUAGGAGGCAGGAAAGAGGCUUUCGGCUGGGCACAAGUUACAAAGGCCACCUGCUUACCUGCUCAAAGACCACAGGGGGUAGGCUAUUCAGUCACUACAUAGCCCAAUAAAGUACUUUAUUGGUGGCAUUCAUGUAAAAAAGCUAGUGAGUCAUCACCAAACCGCAUUCGGGCACCGCUAUUGCUACAGGAACCCAAGCUGAAGUCGUCUAUAAAAGGAGGAAGAGAAGACAGAAUUAAAGACACUCAAACAAACAAACAAAAGCCAAAACUCUGCUCAAGCCAGAUUUGCCUUCAACGAAGCUGUAGUCAGCACAAGCCUUCAUCCCAUUCGGGAUAAACCUUCCCAAACCCCUGUAAUAGCUCUGCUACCUUGUUCAUGGUGGUAUCGAUUCAUUUUGUAUCCUCUUCUCCCCCGUCAACCCCUCUAAAAACUUUCAGACCUCUGACAGAGCCACAAAGAUAGAUUUUGUAAGAAGUUCAGCCUUGGCCGAUAAGGUUCAAACUUACCCGACUAUCUUUGCUCUGUCUUUGUCUUUUCUUUCUUUUAAAAGCACAAUAACAUGUUAUAUAUUCCCAAUUAUAUACAAGUUAUUUCUAGCAAAGUCAUAAUGAAAAUGAGUCUUCAGCACUUGAAUCCGAUCUGAAUCGCGUCAGAGUUCAAAUCAGAUCUAAGUCUUAAGCCCGCGGGCAUGUAAUUUAAAGAUCAGUAAAGUCCUUGGCCUCAAGGCAUAAAAAAGAACUCUAUGUGGACUCAACCCAUCCACGACAAUCCUUGAUAAGCGAGAAGUCCGAAGUUACUUGGGGCGCAAGUAAUCAAUCUAUUUCUCCGUUUUGUUGCUAUUAUAUCUUGAUUCGUAGAAAAGGCUUAAGCACGGAGUGAAUUCUGAUAGAAAGCCUCAAGGCCUACACCUAAGGCCCCCUAAGGCCCCACGAAGGCAUCUAUUUAGCUUCAUUUCAUGUUGCGGUCUAGUUGGUCCGAGUAUAAGGAUUAACUCUGAUGGGAAGCCUCAAGGCCUAUACCUAAGGCCCUACAAAGGCACUCAUUUGGGUUCGUCCUACCUCUUGGAUUCAGAUAAUCAAAGGUAUAAUAGUGAUAAGACUCUGGCAACCAUAAAAGACCAAAUAUGAUACAUCCAAGCGCUGGUUUAGGUUGACAGGAAGCCUCAAGGCCUAUACCUAAGGCCCCACAAAGGCACCUGUUAUAUCUAACUUGGUUUCUCGGGCGUAUACAUAUUCAAUCAAAGCUUAACACCCAUUCAACAUCUGCCAUACUAAAGAUGGCAGUGGCACGCCUGAGCACGACAAAGUUAAUCUUGAUUGUGAGCCUUAAGGCCUACACCUAAGGCCCCACAAAGGCACCCUUUCAAAUUAACUUUGUCCUUCUCUUUCAGAACUGCCCGACGAGCCUUGCCCGAAGUGUGUCUUGCCCGACCAAGAUCUGCCCGACAAAGGCUUGCCCAAGCGAGUCCGAGAAGAAAGCAGAAGUACGACAGAUACCCUCAACCGACGCCAUUCUCCCAGGGGAGCUGUGUACUCGUCCGCCAGGAGAUUCCUGCGACGAACAUAGUUUUGGCACGCCCGGUGGGACAAGAAACAGCUACACUUCUAAGAUCUUACAUGUCCAAAAAAGAGAAGCUAUAAACUUGCCAAAAAAGAAGCCAAGAAGGAUCUUUUCCAGAUGACAGAACAAUCAGAAAAUCCUUUAUCCCCAUCCGGACAGGUGGUCUCAGGUAGUUCGACUGCAUCUGAGAAAUCACAGGGGGAAGGGAUUAAUGAAGAACUGCAAGCUACAAUGAUCCAAGUGUUGAAAAGCAUGGAAAGAAUUUCCUUGGAGACUAAGGGAGAAGUAAAGCAGACUCUGCAUGCUUACAGGAAAUCUACAAAGGAGGCUGGAUUUGGAGUUCUCUACUCCAAAGGGUGCUCAAGGAAGUGGAAUGAGUCCAGUUGUUAUAAGAAGUGAGCCAAUCAUUUCUUUGUUUCCACUACUAGAAGAAGAAAAGGAUAGGGGAAAGAAGAAGGUGAUACCUGAAGAAAGUCAAGCAGUGAUGGAGUCAGCUUCAGAAAAGGAGUUUCCCAGCUUCCCAUUAUUAUCAUUUAAUAAUAGGAGGCAGAGCGAACAAGAAAGAAUGAAGUUUGGACUGCCAGCCACGGCUGGGAGAAACUAGCGGGAAAGAAACAACCACUACUACGUCAGAUAAACCUCUACCUUAUAGGCCACCCCCGAUGGUCAACAAAGGUGGAGGAUCUAACUGGAGAAAAUCUGAAACCAAGAGGGAAGCAAACGCGGGCAAUGACCGGAGUCCGAAGAUUGAGUCAGCUAUCCAUGGCCAGAAUGAUAAUUUAGCUACUCAGCAACUAAGAGAAGAAUUGGCUGAGUUAAAGAAGAACGGUGAUUCAAAACGCCCAGCCUCGAGUUCGUCCAGUAUUCAGGGUUACCUACCAGAAGCCAUAUCCUGAAUAUAUCGAUGAGUUAAAUCCAUUCCCUCUUAAUUUCAAGAUGCCCGCAUUCCCGACUUUCACAGGGGAAGAUAGCAGUGUGUCCUCCAGAGAUCGUAUUUUCAAAUUUUCUAAUCACUGUGUGGCGUAUGAGGACAAUCCAAACUACAAAUUGAGGUUGUUUGGAAAUUCACUAGCAGGAUUGGCAUCUCAAUGGUAUUCUCUAUUACCCCCCAAUUCCAUUGCUAACUGGGGGCAAAUGGAGAUGGCUUUCCAUGAACAGCUCUACAGGAUAGAGCCAGAGCUCACCAUUAAUGAUCUGGUAGAAGUGAAACAAUAUGAUCAUGAGUCCACCGAAGAUUUUAUGAUGAGGUUCAGGAGGACAAGGAUGAGAUGUCAGUUCCCUGUCAACCAGGCACAGCUCAUAUCCAUUGCUCAAAGGGCUUUAAAAUUACCUUUGAGAAAGAGGUUCUAUGAUGCACAGUUUAAUGAGCUACAAGAGUUGGUGAUUGCUGCUACUAAGUAUGAGAGGCUGUUACAGGAGGAACAGCAGGUAAAACAUACUUCCAAAACUCCUCCGUUCUACAAAAAUAAAGCUACUAUUCACCAUGUAGAAGUAGGGGAAGCCGGACCCGAAUGCAAAGAUGAUCAUGAGGACAAGAGUAUAGAUGUAUGUGCUGCUGAGAUGACCACACCCUUCAAGCCAUUGACGAUCAAAGGGUUAGUCCAACCAGUCAAGGACCAGAAGAUCGUGAUGAAUGAUGGUGGGUUCGUACCCAUGAAACCCCCAAAGUAUCAAAGUUAUUCUUUCGAUCUAACCAAGGCGCCAGAAAUCUAUGAAGAACUUGUGCGGGCAAGAGUCAUUUUGCCCGACAGCACCAAAAAGAUGCCCAAGCCCGAGGAACUCAGGGGGAAGAAGUAUUGUAAGUUGCAUUAUACCUUCAACCACUCUAUAGUCAAUUGUGUCCAGUUUAGGGACUGGGUACAUGAUCUUAUAGUGAAGGGGAAGUUACUACUCGAUUCACCUCAGGCUAGUAUGUUGGUGGAUACUAACCCUUUCCCCGAAGCUCCUAUUAGCAUGAUCGACCUCGUUUUCAAGGAGUCGGGGUUAUCAACAGAGUAAAAUGCCAUUGAAAGGACCCGGGAGCAGGGGCUAAGAUUGCCAACAAUAAAGAUGGAGGAGAAAAGCAGGUAGGCAAGGGGGCAUAGAGUUGCCUGAGGCCUAUCCAAAUGGAGCAGAACAGGAGGAAUGUUACAUAUCCAUUCUAAAACAAAAAGAGAUUACAAAGUAAUUCUAUUCCAAAAACUUUAUAUCUUCACAUAAGGUGAUUAUUCUAGAAUGGUAUGUUCGCAUGAUGGUAAAAAUUCUAUUUGGUUCAGCCAAGACAGUAUGGCUGUUUACAAGUUCAGACUUGGUUUGCUCUAACUCUGAAGUCGCUUUUUCCACCCCUUCGAUCUGUUGCUCAAGGUUAUCCAGAAGAGUUGUUUGCUUCGCCUUAAGGAUCAUCAGUUGUCUCUCCAACUUCUGAAUUUCAGAAGAAACAACUUCAAUCCGUUCUUUGGUCUGCAUACUCUCUUCCAUCAGCCGACUAACUUGGGUAGAGGAGCUCGAUUCUCUCUCUAUGAAGCAUUUUGCCCGGUUAGCCAGCCGGUCUGCUCUCUGAUGUUGCUCCCUGAGGGCCCUCAAGUUUUCAAAGAAAGAAAGGAAAGAAUCAUACUGAGGCUUAGAUAAGCGAUCGUUUUUAAAGAACUCAGUAAUGACUCUCUCGAGGUCACAGAGAGCCUUGAGGCUAAAUGAUGCAGUGAAUUCUUUCUUUGCCCAUGUUUGAAAGAUUUGUGUUGCUGCUCCGAAGACAUAGAUUUUGUUGAAGCCUGCUUUGAAGACUUCAACCGCGUCUCAAGUCGCCCGAGUGCUUCGAAGAGUUUGGGCAACUUGGCAGGAUCAGAGGAGGAAGGAGAAGGGUCCGGCAUAACAGUUUCUUCUGGUGAGAUAAUGCCUAUGGAAGGGGCAAUUUCUGUUUGUUCAAUCGGUUCAUCUCUAGACAGGGAGGUGUCAACAUCUCCAGAGGAAGAAGGAGGUUGAAAGCACCUUGGGUUACGGGCCAUUGGAGGAGGGGAAGUUUCUUUUGGGGAAGCUCGCUACAAAACUUCAGGAUCAGGACAAGAUGAACUAUACACAAAUCAAAACAAAAGAGGCUUUGGAGAGAAGAAAGUUACCUGACUUAACCCCGGGGUUUCACCAGAAAAUGCACUAACUCCUUGUCGAGGUGAAGAUUUUUCACCACCAGCGACAUAUGGGAAAGUUGUGCCUGAACCUGUGCCUACAUCCUGGUUGUAUCCAAAGAAAGUAGUGAUGAUCAGCAAAAGGUCACCAGAGGAAGAAACAAGAAGAAAAUAUUCCAGCACCUGAGGUUGAUCUUGAGGAGAAGGAGGUUCAUCGACCGUCUGGCGAGUAAGCGCUUGCGAAAUAGUUGUGUCUAAAGCUACAGGGAUCUCAGGAACUAUGGGUUCUUUAUCCAAGGCCACUGACGGGGAAAGGGGUUCAUAUCCCGAAGAUGGCUGCAAAGAACAUGGAUAGGAGUUACUUGGGUAGCAAUGUGCAAAGUUGAAAUGAAAAGAAAGAGUAACUCACCAAAGUAUCAUCCUCAUCCACAAAAUGCAACAUGAUUCUUGUGGAAGGAUCAAAUUGAGAAGAAGGGGUUGCAUCUAGGGCAGGUUGCGGAGAAAGACUUUCUUUCCUUGUAGCCUAAAGCCAAAUUAUUCAAAAUUCAGAAAGGUUUGAAAAUAAGAAAGUAUAAAGAUAGAAGUCAUACCUCUUUAAGCGUAGCAGCCCUUCGUGAUUCCUUCUUAGAAGCAAGGGUUGACCUUUUAGAAGCUUGAGGUCCUGUUGAGUGAUAAAGGGAUAAUCAGAUAAGGGAGAAAGGUAGCCAUUUGAUCCAGAAGAGGAGAGACUCACUGGAAGAUUGUUCUGUCUCUUUACCCGCUUCAGAAACGGGAGCAGAUGGGGCUGCUGGUUUAGGAGGCACGGUGACUCUUGCCCGCUUACUCUUUCGGGUAAGAAUUGGUCGUGUGGUUGCUGAAGGAAGCGCCGGAUCAGAGAUUGUGGUUUUAGUUAUGGCCACCCUCUUUCGUUUAGAUGCUUUGGUCGUAUCUUUGGCUAUUCUUUUAAUUGUUUCUUCAGCUCCUGAAUCCCCAAGAGAUUCAGAGACGUCUGUCCCUUCCCCGGCUUCCCGCCUUUCAGCUUCUGCUGCAGCACCAUGAAGAACUGCGGCAUCAGCAGAAUCAUUCUCUGAUUCGAUGGCUUCGGAUUCAGUAUCAACUGAAGCUGCAGAAACAGGUAAGAGUGAGGAAAGUAAACAACAAGGAAAGCAAAAUCGGAUGGGAAGAAAGUCACCUAUUAGGAGUAAUCAGUUUUUCUCUUGGAUCAUAUCUUUCCAAUUUGCAAGCUCGCCCGAGCUAGGAUAUGAUUUAAGAGAAAGCUGGCUGAAAAUACGAUCGUGGUUCACUUUCAAAUCUCCUCCGUAUUUUCUAGUCCACCUUUCCUCCCACCAAGAAGAAAACAGCGAGGUACAUUCGAAAUUAAGAACAACGGAAUGUCGGGCUGCUUGGCUCAUCACGUCCAAACUACGGCGGGCAGCUCGAAAUAUUGCUUCAGAAUGAGUCUGUAACCGAAAUGAAGUGCCACAAUGGAUGGAGUCGAAGAAUGGGACAGGUAUGGAUUGCCUAAAUCCUAAUUGCCUGCUGCAGAAGUUAGGAUGAUACACAUCCAAGCCUCGAUCAUACCGAUUUCCCCGGACCCCCCAGGCCAAGUCUCUUGGCUGAAUACAGCUGAUAAACUUUUCCCUGCAGAAGGGAGCAGCAUCCUCACCAGGGGCAUCUUGGAAGGCUUGGUCAGAAAACCAAGGAUAUCUCCUCAAGACCGAUGCACCCCAUUCCAAGUCUGACCGAGUCCUGCAGACUCGGAAAAAGUAGAAGAAGCAUGCAAAGGUGGAAUGAUCUACAGGAGGAGCUUCAGCCAGGAUUCGGGCAGGAGCCACACCCUCUGGAAACUCUAGAUUGAUAGCCCGAAAUUCUGGAAAAUACCAUUGUAGCCAAAUCUGUAUCAUCCAGAUGGGGCCGUUCAAAUUGGUCUCAAAGGGCUCAUCCCGGGUCAUGUCAAAAAGAAGGUGAUAGAGAUGGGAGAGAAGGAAUGGACCUGUGGUAACGUCAUCAAAAUUGUGAAGAACCUCUACCAAGGGGAUCCAUUCUACCCGUACCCCCUUGGAUUUGUUGGGGAAGACGUGCUUGUUAAGCCAGUAAAGAAGAAAGUACAUAUGCUCUUGAUCUUUGUCGGCUUGAGGAGAGCCUACCCCGAAGUUCUUCUUGACAAAAGGGAUGAAUCCUUUAAAGGAGGUCCCAUAACUUUUGAAAGUAACUGAGUUAUAGCUAAGAGGAAGGAAGUAGGUGGAAGAACUUGAGCCCCCGGUGGUAGAGGAUGGAAUCCAAUCUUGAGUAACAUCUAUCACCCUGCCCGAUGGCCUCAACCCGAAGACUUGGGCCAUAUCAAGAAUGGUGGGAGACAUGGGACCCAUACGGAAAUCGAAGGUGUUUGUGCCCGUAUUUCCAAAAGAGGAGGGCAGAAGCAAGCAAUUCGGGCUUAGGGGUAAUUGAAAUCUUCGAAAGCAUAAUCAGUUCGUAGAUGCCGUUACUCAUCCAUUUCUGCUUGAAGGAAGGUUCCAAUUCGUCAAUCCACUGGGCCCAGGCAAGAUCAUUCAUCAAGGGAAAGACUCGACGAUGAAAAGACCACUUAGAAGAAGAAAUGCCCGAGUCGGCCAAAUAAGGAUUUGGGGUAAACCAGUUUCCCCUAGGCAUAUUACUUUCUACUACUGAGGGAACCCGAGAAAUCCAGGCAGGACCCAAAGAUUGAACCCCAUGCAUCUCAAAGAAGAGUUCAGAAUGCAGACCUGCCCGCGGACGAUGCAGCCCGUUGAGCAGACGGCGUAGAGUGGCAAUUCCUUCACCAGACUCGUAGGAUGGUAGGGUUUGGCCGGAUCCUGAGGCCAUUUAAUGAAGGCCGUGGGGAAGAAAAACAAGGAGAACGGUAAAGAUACAACCUCGUCGGACAACGAGAAAGAAAUGAUGGAAGAAUUGGGAAGUUUUGUUGUAUCAGAGAAGGUUUUCUUUUUACGAAACACAGAGAACAGAGAAGUUCACUCACAAGGGUUCUAAGAGUUCUAAGGGUUUAAAGCAGGGGUCUCUUUCAAUUAAUAUUGGCGCCUGGGAUCCCAACCUUAACAUCAAUUGAAGGGGGCACUGUUUGGGAUAAAAUCUGAACUUUGGGCCAGAGAGAAAGUCGGCCCAAACCCAAGGCCCAGAGGAAAACUUAGGAGGCAGGAAAGAGGCUUUCGGCUGGGCACAAGUUACAAAGGCCACCUGCUUACCUGCUCAAAGACCACAGGGGGUAGGCUAUUCAGUCACUACAUAGCCCAAUAAAGUACUUUAUUGGUGGCAUUCAUGUAAAAAAGCUAGUGAGUCAUCACCAAACCGCAUUCGGGCACCGCUAUUGCUACAGGAACCCAAGCUGAAGUCGUCUAUAAAAGGAGGAAGAGAAGACAGAAUUAAAGACACUCAAACAAACAAACAAAAGCCAAAACUCUGCUCAAGCCAGAUUUGCCUUCAACAAAGCUGUAGUCAGCACAAGCAUUCAUCCCAUUCGGGAUAAACCUUCCCAAACCCCUGUAAUAGCUCUGCUACCUUGUUCAUGGUGGUAUCGAUUCAUUUUGUAUCCUCUUCUCCCCCGUCAACCCCUCUAAAAGCUUUCAGACCUCUGACAGAGCCACAAAGAUAGAUUUUGUAAGAAGUUCAGCCUUGGCCGAUAAGGUUCAAACUUACCCGACUAUCUUUGCUCUGUCUUUGUCUUUUAUUUCUUUUAAAAGCACAAUAACAUGUUAUAUAUUCCCAAUUAUAUACAAGUUAUUUCUAGCAAAGUCAUAAUGAAAAUGAGUCUUCAGCACUUGAAUCCGAUCUGAAUCGUGUCAGAGUUCAAAUCAGAUCUAAGUCUUAAGCCCGCGGGCAUGUAAUUUAAAGAUCAGUAAAGUCCUUGGCCUCAAGGCAUAAAAAAGAACUCUAUGUGGACUCAACCCAUCCACGACAAUCCUUGAUAAGCGAGAAGUCCGAAGUUACUUGGGGCGCAAGUAAUCAAUCUAUUUCUCCGUUUUGUUGCUAUUAUAUCUUGAUUCGUAGAAAAGGCUUAAGCACGGAGUGAAUUCUGAUAGAAAGCCUCAAGGCCUACACCUAAGGCCCCACGAAGGCAUCUAUUUAGCUUCAUUUCAUGUUGCGGUCUCUAGUUGGUCCGAGUAUAAGGAUUAACUCUGAUGGGAAGCCUCAAGGCCUAUACCUAAGGCCCUACAAAGGCACUCAUUUGGGUUCGUCCUACCUCUUGGAUUCAGAUAAUCAAAGGUAUAAUAGUGAUAAGACUCUGGCAACCAUAAAAGACCAAAUAUGAUACAUCCAAGCGCUGGUUUAGGUUGACAGGAAGCCUCAAGGCCUAUACCUAAGGCCCCACAAAGGCACCUGUUAUAUCUAACUUGGUUUCUCGGGCGUAUACAUAUUCAAUCAAAGCUUAACACCCAUUCAACAUCUGCCAUACUAAAGAUGGCAGUGGCACGCCUGAGCACGACAAAGUUAAUCUUGAUUGUGAGCCUUAAGGCCUACACCUAAGGCCCCACAAAGGCACCCUUUCAAAUUAACUCUGUCCUUCUCUUUCAGAACUGCCCGACGAGCCUUGCCCGAAGUGUGUCUUGCCCGACCAAGAUCUGCCCGACAAAGGCUUGCCUGAGCGAGUCCGAGAAGAAAGCAGAAGUACGACAGAUACCCUCAACCGACGCCAUUCUCCCAGGGGAGCUGUGUACUCGUCCGCCAGGAGAUUCCUGCGACGAACAAAUUGCUUUCAAGGAAAUUGAACUCUUUUUCUCAGAAAUUCAGGCAAUAGAAAUCUAAAAACAGCAAAGUUUAAACAACCAGCAAAUAUUGACAGUAAAAUUCGUAAAAUCAGCAAGACAAGCAGAGAUCAAACAGUACGAGGCAAAAAAACAUCACAUAAAAAAAUUUCGCAAGAAAAAGAAGGUAUCUCGAUUCUUGCCCAGGACGGUGUUGAUGGGGUUCAUUGCGCCUUGGUUCUUGGCCGCAUCGCCGAUCAACCUCUCCGUAUCAGUAAACGCCACGUAAGACGGCGUCGUGCGGUUGCCCUGUUCAUUAGCGAUGAUCUCGACGCGGUCGUGUUGCCAAACAGCGACGCACGAGUAACUAGUUCCGAGAUCUAUACCGAUCGCUGGCCCCUCUCCCUUUACCGCCAUUGCAACCGCUGAUAUUCAAUCAAUCAAAGAACCGCAGAGAAAAGUAAAGAGCUUUUGAGCUUUUGAGAUAGGUAAAGAAACUUAGCCAGGACGAAAUAAAUUCAGUUUGUAGAAUUUUAUUUUCUUUUUACAUUUGUUGGCGCGUAAAGACAUUCUUAUAGUUAUAAUACAGUUAUAAUACUCUAAGUGCACGUACAAUGUUUAAUUUUAAUAUUUGUACUUGUCAAGAGAUAUUCUUUAAUUUUAAUUUUUUUAGCUAAAAAUUUGUAUGAACUUUUGCACCGUUAAAUUUAAAUUAAGGUUAUGCAAGUCUCUCAACUUGAGAAAAUCACACAAAACCUGUUAAACCAUUAUUUAACUAAUAAAUUAGUAUACGAUAAAGAAGUUAAUAGAAAGGUAACCUAUUGUAAAUACAAACAGAAUGACUGCACUAAAGCCUAUUAAACCAAAAAGAAAUGAAAAGAAUGUAGGUAGAAAAUUAAUAUUAGUAAAUGAGAAUUAAUAUUAAGGAAAACUAAUAAAAAUGGUUUAAAAACUUUGAGUUUUAACGAUAAGGACAAAAUAAAAAGUAAAGUGAAUAGUACCGAGAUCACCAAACAUAAAGGAUAAAAUUCAAACAAUAUCAAACAGUGAAUCCAAGAGAGAUAAUUUAGAAAGAAAAUGGGCUUCAUUGACAAAAUACUAGAAUACGAUGUUGAACAAAAUAACCAAGAUCACCAAACAUCCUACAUCUUGGAUUUUAGAAUCCCAUUAAAAAAGUACCCAAUUUCAAACCUUAAACUAAGAAACACAUAUUGGCUCAACAAAAACAGAUUCAUUGACUUCUUCCAUCUUGGGACCAGCACCGCUGCCACUAGCAGGAGGAACAUCUUCAUCCAUGGUGCCACAGACAUCAGGUAUGCCAGCCUUGGUGCACCUUGGCAAUGAUUGGAUUGCAGAUGCUCUCCAGCUCAUCCAGCUUGUCCACAAACUCGUCAGCCUCAGCAAGUUGGUUUUCAUCAAGCCAUUGAAUAGCCUGGUUGGUCUGGUCACUCGCGUCCUUGAUCUUCUUGAUCGUGUUCAUCAUGUUGACAGCAUAAAUCACCAAAGUCUUCCCCAUGUUGUAGGCAUAAUUCUCCAAGGCAAUCUUGGCCUCUACCUUCUUCUUGUGCUUCUCAUCUUCUGACUUAUACUUCUUAGCCUCUUGAACCAUCUUCUCUAUUUCUUCCUUCGACAAUCUUCCAUUGUCCUUGGUGAUGGUAAUCUUGUUCUUCUUCCAUGUAGUCCUGUCUAUAGCAGAGACGUUGAAGAUACCAUUGGCAUCAAUAUCAAAGCAGACAGUGAUUUGCGGAACACCCCUUGGAGCAAGAGGAAUGCCAGAAAGCUCAAAUUUUCCCAACAAGUUGUUAUCGCGAGUCCAUAUCCUUUCACCCUCAUAUACUUGGAUCAAGAUACCAGGCAGAUUGUCUGAGUCGGUAGAGAAGACUUGUUCCUUCUUGGUUGGAACGGUCGUGUUCCUUGGAAUCAACACAGUCAUCACACCUCCGGCAGUCUCCAAACCAAGGGACAGAGGAGUGACAUCCAGAAGCAAUAAAUCCUUCACCUUCUUGUUACCCUCACCGCUCAAGAUGGCAGCCUGCACAGCGGCGCCAUAAGCAACAGCCUCAUCUGGGUUGAUGCUUCUGCACAGCUCUUUGCCCUCGAAGAAGUCCUGCAACAACUGCUGCACCUUUGGAAUCCUAGUAGAACCGCCCACUAGCACAACAUCGUGGACCGAGCUCUUGUCCAUCUUUGCAUCUCUCAAACACUUCUCAACGAGCUCCAUACACUUUCUGAAAAGAUCCAUGUUAAGCUCUUCAAACCUAGCACGGGUAAUGGUUGAGUAAAAAUCGACACCAUUGUACAAAGAAUCGAUCCCAAUUGUGGUCUGAGAAGUGGAUGAGAGAGUCCUCUUUGCCUUCUCACAAGCAGUUCUCAACCUUCUACGAGCACUUGGGCUGCUGCUGAUGUCCUUCUUGUGUUUCCUCUUGAACUCUUGAACAAAAUGAUUCACCAUUCUAUUGUCGAAAUCUUCUCCUCCCAAGUGGGUGUCUCCGGCAGUUGCCUUCGCUUUAAAAAUACCCUCUUCAACUGUGAGCAGGGAGAUAUCAAAAGUGCCUCCGCCAAGAUCGAAAAUCAAGACAUUCUUCUUGCUAACGCUGGUGACCUUCUUGUCAAGACCAUAUGCAAAAGCGGCAGCGGAGGGCUCAUUCAUAAUACGCAGAACAUUAAGGCCGGCAAUGACCCCAGCAUCCUUCGUGGCCUGACGCUGAGAAUCGUUGAAGUAAGCCGGGACAGUAACAACGGCAUUCUUUAUAGAUGAGCCAAGAUAGGCCUCAGCAAUCUCACGCAUUUUGAAGAGAACCAUGGAGGAAAUUUCUUCAGCAGUGAACUGCUUCUCUUCGCCCUUGUAUGUGACAACAAUCAUGGGCUUGUCACCGGGGCCGGAAAUGACCUUGAAAGGCCAGUGCUUCAUGUCACUCUGAACAGAAGGGUCAGAGAAUCUCCUACCAAUCAACCGCUUGGCAUCUGAAAAAUUAACCAAGCUCGUUAAAAAAAUACUAAUUUAUUAAUAAUUCAUAACACAGAACAAGCUACAAUAUCAAGCUAAAUCCAUUAAAACUUAUCAAAAAUAAAAGUAACCAAAUAGAUCAUGCCAGACACUAAAAACUCGGAAAGCUUUUUUAAAUGGAUUUUUAUCACAAACGGUCAUUGAAAUUGAUUGAACUUAUCAAAAUGAUCAUUGAAAUUGAAAAUCGAUCAAUCUAAUCCAUAAAAACGGGGUCGGAAAUCAAUGUGAUCAUUCUGUCACAAUUCUGUCAAACUCUGUUAUGUGCUGAUGUGGCACAUAAAUGGGUCUCACAAGACUAAUUCAUAUUGCCACAUGGAUUAGAAAUACUUGAAAUUAUUUUUGAAAAAAAUAUUUUUGGAUAAUUAAAAACUUAAAAAAAAAAAUAGCCAUCUUCUCCCACCCGAGGAAGCUGCACCCCUCCACUUCGGCUCUGAAUCAGAAACUAUGCCUGAUAUCCAGAAGCCCCAAAGCCCCUAAUAUCGCAUCCACCACACAAUGAAGUGACACAUCCCCAGAAUUCGAAUACAAAAUUCAAAAAUUAAAUAAAAAAUGUAAUAAAAUAAAUUAGAAAAUGUGAAAUUACGGGAAGAAAAAGCAAAUUAAUGGAGGAAUACAGUCAUAUAUAUAUAUAUAUAUAUAUAUAUAUUUUUAAGUUUUUAAUUAUAUAAAUAAUUUUUAAUUUAUUUAAAUAUUUUAAAUCCAUAGAGCAAUAUUUACUUAUAUUUGUGGGAACCAGUUAUGUGCCACAAAGAAUUUUUGACGGAAUUGUAACGGAAUGACCACAUUGAUUUGUGACACCAAUUUUCAGGGAUUACAUUGAUUGAUUUUCAAUUUCAUGGACCAUCUUGAUAAGGUAGAUCAAUUUAAGAGACCAUUUAUGAUAAAAACCAUUUUUAAAAUUUCAUCCAACAAUUUACAAGAAACUUAAAACCCAAAUUAUAAUUUUGAACAGAUUAACUAAAACUCGUGGCCGUGACCACCAAUUAUAAUAUUUGAUAGUCCAUUAAUAUUAACUAAACAAAUCCUGCAAAUAAAAAUAAAAAAUAAAUAAACCGAUCAAUUCGCUAUAAAAAGAUUCAAGGCACAACAAACCCUGCACAAAAUUAACCUGCAAAGUUAUUUAUCAGACCAAGCCUCAAAAAGAUAAUUACUUUCAAGGAAAUUGAACUCUUUUUCUCAGAAAUUCAGGCAAUAGAAAUCUAAAAACAGCAAAGUUUAAACAACCAGCAAAUAUUGACAGUAAAAUUCAUAAAAUCAACCAUACAAGCAGAGAUCAAACAGUACAAGGCAAAAAAACAACAUCACAUAAAAAAGAAAGUAUCUCGAUUCUUACCCAGGACGGUGUUGACGGGGUUCAUGGCGACCUGGUUCUUGGCCGCAUCGCCGAUCAACCUCUCCGUAUCAGUAAACGCCACGUAAGACGGCGUCGUGCGGUUGCCCAGAUCAUUAGCGAUGAUCUCGACGUGGUCGUGUUGCCAAACAGCGACGCACGAGUAACUAGUUCCGAGAUCUAUACCGAUCGCUGGCCCCUCUCCCUUUACCGCCAUUGCAUCAGCUGAGAUUCAAUCAAUCAAACAAGCAAAGAACCGCAGAGAAAAGUAAAGAGCUUUUGAGAUUUUUGGGCGAUAGGUAAAGAAAGUUAGCCAGGAAGAAAUUCAGUUUGUAAAAUAUUCCCUCCCUUCUGCAUGUGCGUAUGAAAGACGCUACGCGCGGCGUGUAGAAUUAUAUUUUCUUUUUACAUUUGUUGGCGCAUGAAAACAUUCUUAUAGUUACAAUGCGCGAAGCGCACGUACAAUGUUUAAUUUUAAUAUUUGUACUUGUCAAGAGACAUUCUUUAAUUUUAAUUUUUUUAGUUGAAAAUUUGUAUGAACUUUUGCACCGUUAGAUUUAAAUUAAGACUAUGCAAGUCUCUCAACUUGAGAAAAUCACAUAAAACCUGUUAAACCAUUAUUUAACUAAUAAAUUAGUAUAUGAUAAAGAAGUUAAUAGAAAGGUAACCUAUUGUAAAUACAAACAGAAUGACUGCACCAAAGCCUAUUAAACCAAAAAAAAAUGAGGAGAAUGUAGGUAGAAAAUUAAUAUUAGUAAAUGGGGAUUAAUAUUAAGGAAAACUAAUGAAAAAGGCUUGAAAACUUUGAGUUUUAACGAUAAUGAUAAAAUAAAGGAUAAAGUGAAUAUUACUAGGAUUGACUUCUUGGUGUAAAUGUGGUUUUUCGUUAAAGUGAACAGUAUUGGGAGAUUUUCAUUAGAGUUCCCUUAAUAUUAAUGGUCCAAAUCUGUAAUCCUUAUCUUAGAUUGCUAAAAUGAAACUCAAAAUGAACAAUGCUAAGUAUACAUGUGUAUGCUAUCUUCGCUUGCGAAACUCAAGCAGUUUGCAAAAGCUGAGAAACUCUAUACUGAAUAGGACUUUGUUUCGGAGACUCUAGGGUUUCAAAUAUACUUCUUGCAGCGUACAUCAAAGAAGACCAAACGAAAGGACUGAAACCUUUCAUAGUCGGAUGGAGCAAAAUAUACUUCUUCUGUAUUUUCCCUGUGAAACCAACUUCAAAACUGAUUGUACAAAUUAAAAAAUUUCAAACAUUCAAUUACCCGGAAACCAAAAAUGAAAAUUUUAUUAAAUUAAAUUAAAAUAAAUCAUUGGCAAAAAGAACAUAAAAAUGAAAAUUUCUACUAAAUUAAUUAAAAUAAACUAAUACGCAAGAGGAACAAAGGCAACCUUUUGAAUUAAUCUAAAGAGAUGCAAACUAAAAAUACCGGUCUUGCCAUCAAACAGUGAAUCUAAGAGAGAUAAUUUAGAAAGAAAAUAGGCUUCGUAGGCAAAAUACUGGAAUACGAUGUUGAACAAAAUGACCAAGAUCACCAAACAUCCUACAUCCUUCAUCGACUUCUUCCAUAUUGGGACCAGCACCGCUGCCACCAGCAGGAGGAACAUCUUCAUCCAUGGCGCCACCGACAUCAGGUUUGCCAGCCCUGCUGCACCUUGGCAAUGGUCGAAUUGCAGAUGCUCUCCAGCUAGUCCUCAAACUCGUAGGCCUCAGCAAGCUGGUUUCCGUCAAGCCAUUGGAUGGCCUAGUCAAUCGCAUCCUCAAUCUUCUUCUUGUCAGCGGCGUCCAGCUUGGAGGCAAUCUUAUCAUCCUUGAUCGUGUU